rnacentral:rRNA from 1 species
GCUAAACGCGAAGAACCUUACCAGGCCUUGACAUGCAGAGAACUUUCCAGAGAUGGAUUGGUGCCUUCGGGAACUCUGACACAGGUGCUGCAUGGCUGUCGUCAGCUCAUGUCGUGAGAUGUUGGGUUAAGUCCCGUAACGAGCGCAACCCUUGUCCUUAGUUACCAGCAUGUUAUGGUGGGCACUCUAAGGAGACUGCCGGUGACAAACCGGAGGAAGGUGGGGAUGACGUCAAGUCAUCAUGGCCCUUACGGCCUGGGCUACACACGUGCUACAGUGGUCGGUACAGAGGGUUGCCAAGCCGCGAGGUGGAGCUAAUCCCACAAAACCGAUCGUAGUCCGGAUCGCAGUCUGCAACUCGACUGCGUGAAGUCGGAAUCGCUAGUAAUCGCGAAUCAGAAUGUCGCGGUGAAUACGUUCCCGGGUCUUGUACACACCG